rnacentral:rRNA from 1 species
AUCGAACGCUGGCGGCAGGCCUAACACAUGCAAGUCGAGCGGAGCGGCGGACGGGUGAGUAAUUCCUAGGAAUCUGCCUGGUAGUGGGGGAUAACGUCCGGAAACGGGCGCUACUCCCGCAUACUAUCCGAUGAGCCUCGGUCGGAUUAGCGAUGUGGUGGGGUAAAGGCCUACCACGGCGACGAUCCGUAACUGGUCUGAGAGGAUGAUCAGUCACACUGGAACUGAGACAUGGUCCAGACUCCUACGGGAGGCAGCAGUGGGGAAGAUUGGACAAUGGGCGAAAGCCUGAUCCAGCCAUGCCGCGUGUGUGAAGAAGGUCUUCGGAUUGUAAAGCACUUUAAGUUGGGAGGCGUUACCAACAGAAUAAGCACCGGCUAACUUCGUGCCAGCAGCCGCGGUAAUAC